GAAUUAACUCAGUGGUAGAGUCUCGGUCUUCCAAACCGUUGGUCGUGGGUUCGAACCCCCUAUAUUUA
rnacentral:tRNA from 1 species